rnacentral:rRNA from 1 species
UACAGAGGGUGCAAGCGUUGUUCGGAAUUAUUGGGCGUAAAGGGCGCGUAGGCGGUGCGGUAAGUCUCUAGUGAAAUCUCCGGGCUCAACUCGGAGCCUGCUAGGGAAACUGCCGUGCUUGAGGACUGGAGAGGAGACUGGAAUUUACGGUGUAGCAGUGAAAUGCGUAGAUAUCGUAAGGAAGACCAGUGGCGAAGGCGGGUCUCUGGACAGUUCCUGACACUGAGACACGAAGGCCAGGGGAGCAAACGGG